rnacentral:rRNA from 1 species
UACAGAGGGUGCAAGCGUUAAUCGGAAUUACUGGGCGUAAAGCGUACGUAGGUGGUUGAAUAAGUCAGGUGUGAAAUCCCCAAGCUCAACUUGGGAAUUGCGCUUGAUACUGUUUAACUCGAGUUUGGUAGAGGGAGGUGAAAUUCCAGGUGUAGCGGUGAAAUGCGUAGAGAUCUGGAGGAACACCAGUGGCGAAGGCGGCCUCCUGGACCAAAACUGACACUGAGGUACGACAGCGUGGGGAGCAAACAGGAUUAGAUACCCCCGUAGUCC